rnacentral:rRNA from 1 species
CCUACGGGUGGCAGCAGUGAGGAAUAUUGGUCAAUGGACGCAAGUCUGAACCAGCCAUGCCGCGUGUAGGAAGACGGCUCUAUGAGUUGUAAACUGCUUUUGUACGGGGGUAAACGCAGAUACGCGUAUCUGUCUGAAAGUCUCGUACGAAUAAGGAUCGGCUAACUCCGUGCCAGCAGCCGCGGUAAUACGGAGGAUUCAAGCGUUAUCCGGAUUUAUUGGGUUUAAGGGGUGCGUAGGCGGUCGGAUAAGUUAGAGGUGAAAGCCCGAGGCUCAACUUCGGAAUUGCCUCGGAUACUGGUCGACUAGAGAGUAGGUGCGGUAGGCGGAAUGUAUGGUGUAGCGGUGAAAUGCGUAGAUAUCAUGAAGAACACCGAGCGCGAAGGCAAGUGUCCGGGGUGAAACUGACGUUGAGGCUCGAAAGUGCGGGUAUCAAACAGGAUUAGAUACCCGAGUAGUC